rnacentral:rRNA from 1 species
UACGGGGGGAGCAAGCGUUGUUCGGAUUUACUGGGCGUAAAGGGCGCGUAGGCGGUAGCACAAGUCAGUUGUGAAAUCUCCGGGCUUAACUCGGAAAGGUCAACUGAUACUGUGCGACUAGAGUGCAGAAGGGGCAACUGGAAUUCUCGGUGUAGCGGUGAAAUGCGUAGAUAUCGAGAGGAACACCUGCGGCGAAGGCGGGUUGCUGGGCUGACACUGACGCUGAGGAGCGAAAGCGUGGGGAGCAAACAGG